GAAGCUUAGAGAGAAGCUGAUGUACAAGAUUUCUGAAUAAACUGCUUGAAGAAGAGUCGUGGUCGUGUUUCUCUUGCUGGUCGAGAUAGAUGGUCCAAGUGGUGGCCCGUACGGGAACCUCUGUGGGUGAAUGGCUCAGAACUUCCUGCAGUCAGAGCAGUUGACUGGUAAGUCCCAGGAUCAAUCAGAGCCAGUGUGGGUUCCAGAAAGGCUGACAAGAAGAGUCCCUGCCUCUGAGGAUGGCGAAAAUCAUAAGCAGACCAAUGUACCUGAUGCUGACGAUCAUGGCGGUGAUGCUGAUCAACAAGACGACAGCAGAACUCCGAUGGGGGAUUCUGUCUGUGUUCCCAAAACCACUGCCAAUCAGACAUUCUGCUCAAGUUUUCCCUAGAUUUUUUAGUAGCAAUUUGAGUUUAAAUUUACCUUUUUUGCCUUUAGAUAAAGAUAUUAGUCCUGUAGAGGGUAAUGUUAGUUUUGGUUUGCCAGUGAAUUUGUGCUUUUUUAUAGUUAGUAAUAUUAGUCAGAAUAAUGAUGGGUGCCCUGGGAGGAAUGCUUAUCCUUGUCAGUAUCAUUGCUUUAUGGUGUAUCUUCAGGAUGAAGGUUUCACAGAGGAGAAGUAAUGCCAUGAUUUCACAAGCCUUCGCAGACCUGGAGGCAGUGCAGUCUCCUCAGGCUUAACGGUACUCAAAAGCUAAGUAAUUACUUCCUCCACACAAGUUGCAAGAUGUAGUACUGCACAUGAAGUGUGAACUUCAUGAAGGGCAAGUCUGAUUGCAUAUGGGUUGGUAUAGUAAUCCCAUCUCUGACAAAAGAUACUGGACUGGUGUGGCAACAGCUUGGCUGAUACCUAGGUGUGGGGCCAUUACAUUGUCCCUUGUUUUAAGAGAUCAGACCCCUACCCUUACCUGUUGUGCUAUAAAAUAAAAAAGGGGCAACUGUGGAGAACCACAGCCCUAAGAUGGUGCCUGGCUGGAUGCCAGGUAGUCCAAGCUUAGCUGUAAACAAACCUUAUUUGGAAGUGCUUGAGGCAUCUGGCGAGCUUCCUCCUUCUGUGGCCUAUCUGGGAUUGCCAGAUGGCAUGAGCUGAUUGGGCACUGAGCAUCUACUUAAGGGCUUGUGGGGGCUGGCAGAGGGGAAGCUGAUGAAGAAGCUGAAAGAGAAGCUGGUAUACAAGGUUCCUGAAUAAAC
rnacentral:lncRNA from 1 species